rnacentral:rRNA from 1 species
CACUUCUCCUCCAGAGUUUGAUCAUGGCUCAGGACGAACGCUGGCGGCGUGCCUAAUACAUGCAAGUCGUACGCUUCUUUUUCCACCGGAGCUUGCUCCACCGGAAAAAGAAGAGUGGCGAACGGGUGAGUAACACGUGGGUAACCUGCCCAUCAGAAGGGGAUAACACUUGGAAACAGGUGCUAAUACCGUAUAACAAUCGAAACCGCAUGGUUUUGAUUUGAAAGGCGCUUUCGGGUGUCGCUGAUGGAUGGACCCGCGGUGCAUUAGCUAGUUGGUGAGGUAACGGCUCACCAAGGCCACGAUGCAUAGCCGACCUGAGAGGGUGAUCGGCCACAUUGGGACUAGACACGGCCCAAACUCCUACGGGAGGCAGCAGUAGGGAAUCUUCGGCAAUGGACGAAAGUCUGACCGAGCAACGCCGCGUGAGUGAAGAAGGUUUUCGGAUCGUAAAACUCUGUUGUUAGAGAAGAACAAGGAUGAGAGUAACUGUUCAUCCCUUGACGGUAUCUAACCAGAAAGCCACGGCUAACUACGUGCCAGCAGCCGCGGUAAUACGUAGGUGGCAAGCGUUGUCCGGAUUUAUUGGGCGUAAAGCGAGCGCAGGCGGUUUCUUAAGUCUGAUGUGAAAGCCCCCGGCUCAACCGGGGAGGGUCAUUGGAAACUGGGAGACUUGAGUGCAGAAGAGGAGAGUGGAAUUCCAUGUGUAGCGGUGAAAUGCGUAGAUAUAUGGAGGAACACCAGUGGCGAAGGCGGCUCUCUGGUCUGUAACUGACGCUGAGGCUCGAAAGCGUGGGGAGCAAACAGGAUUAGAUACCCUGGUAGUCCACGCCGUAAACGAUGAGUGCUAAGUGUUGGAGGGUUUCCGCCCUUCAGUGCUGCAGCUAACGCAUUAAGCACUCCGCCUGGGAGUCGUCGAACUGG